UGUCCAUGUACUGUUCUGUCCUGUGAAGGUUUCAUGAGCCGUCUCUGGGUCCGCUUGUGGUCGGCUCACUAAAAAAUCUUUAAACGGCCAUCCGGACGCUUCAUUCUUCAAUUUUACUCCUUUUGAGCUAAACGAGCAUCAUGGGGAAAGGUGCGACUGAGGAAUGGGAUGAAAUGCCCAAACAAACGAGGAUGACUCAGCCACAAAGUUACGAAGACACGAGCACUAAGAAGAAAGGUGGCUGCCCCAAGUGCUGCUUGAAGACCCGAGACUGCCUGAUGAGUCCUGAAUGUGGCAGAGCCCUCCAAAUUAGCACUUGCGUUGCCUUCUGUGGGUCAUGCAUUCGCAUGUGGGUGUGAUGCGGAAGCAUCAGGACCUGUUCCGGGUGGAACAAAUCUAAAGUGGACUCGAGUCUCCUGUACACCUGAGUCAUGCUGGAUUUCUCCUAAAUCAAAAACGAGGAAAAAUAUUUAACUUCCUUUUUAACACUUUACUUUCAGAAGCUUUUUUUUAUAUGACGUACAACAAAGG